GACGAACGCUGGCGGCGUGCUUAACACAUGCAAGUCGAACGGUGAUCUUGGGAGCUUGCUCUUGGGUGAUCAGUGGCGAACGGGUGAGUAACACGUGAGUAACCUGCCCCUGACUCUGGAAUAACUUCGGGAAACCGAAGCUAAUACCGGAUACAACACAGAGCUGCAUGGCUACUGUGUGGAAAGUUUUUCGGUUGGGGAUGGACUCGCGGCCUAUCAGCUUGUUGGUGAGGUAAUGGCUCACCAAGGCGACGACGGGUAGCCGGCCUGAGAGGGCGAUCGGCCACACUGGGACUGAGACACGGCCCAGACUCCUACGGGAGGCAGCAGUGGGGAAUAUUGCACAAUGGGCGAAGGCCUGAUGCAGCGACGCCGCGUGAGGGAUGAAGGCCUUCGGGUUGUAAACCUCUUUCAGUAGGGAAGAAGCGCAAGUGACGGUACCUACAGAAGAAGCACCGGCUAACUACGUGCCAGCAGCCGCGGUAAGAC
rnacentral:rRNA from 1 species